GUCUAUUUCCCUCACCUGAUGGCUGGUCUUUGAUGCACCUUUUGGUUUUGGUAGAGUCUGACGUACACACACACACCUGAUACCGCCAGUAGACGUUGACCAUGGGAGGGGGGGAGAGAACCCAGGAGAGAGAGCCAUGUGUUGGAUAACAACACCAAAGGGUUCUGGGUGAGAAUCGUGACCUUGUCGUGACCUUGUUGUCCAAGAGGUAUUGUGUCAGCUGAGUUUCUCUACCUCACGUUCAUCUCUACCAUCUCCACCUCCGUUCCUCUCCUCCAUGUCUAAUCCCGUUCCAUUUAUUUGUCCUGUACUCCAAUACCCCCCCCCCAACGCUCUGGUUCUUCCUGUAAGUUUCCGGAAAAUGCUUUUGCUUUUCCAUGUUUUUUGUUUGACCAAGGUACAAGGACUGAAACCCAUGUUGAUGGUAUAUAGCCACUUAAUGAAGGGGCCUUUCUCUCUUUCUCUCUAUUCCCUUUCUUUCUCUCUCUCUCUCUCUCUCUCUCUCUCUCUCUCUCUCUCUCUCUCUCUCUCUCUCUCUCUCUCUCUCUCUCUCUCCCCUCCUCUUUGGCCUCAUCGUUAAUGGUUUUCUGUGGCUAGCAUGUGCGUAUCUAUCCUGAGUGUUGUGUGUCUUGUGCGUAUCAGAGUUAGAGCUGCAUCUGUUCCCAGGCCUCCCAAUUCAUCCACACCCCAUCUCCAUGUUAUCGUGUUCAGGGAUCCCUGCGUCCCUCGACAGCACAGCCCAACUCUAUCUAUCCACCUAUCUAGCAAUCUAUAUCCAUCUAUCUAUUCACCGACUGUACCUUUUUCCUAGUAUGUCACCGUUGGCGUAACAGACACCCACCCACUUUGUGUACAAGUUGUCCCCCUGCCCCCACCACCACCCCCCACCAUGCCACCCUUCUAUCUAAUCAACCCCUCGGUAACACACACGAAAAAUUGAAUGUUUACAUCUCUCGAUUCUCGUUAGACUUUCUUAGAGACACACACUAAGUACAAAGAUGCCUUAUUCAGGACGCGACAUGUAGGCUGAUUUCUCAAAAAACGAAACAAAUUAAAAUAUUACAAAUUGGUUGAAUUACGAAUUGAUUGGAAAACACCCAAAGUGAAAGUCGUUUCGCAAUUAAAAGUAAUUGACAUGGAUCAGUUCUACCAGAAUGGGUAUUUGUGCUUAGUUUGUACACUGCUAAAAGAGUGAAGAGAGGAUACGCUGGUUUACAUAUUAAAAAAGAAACAAUAUAUUAUAAUAUAUAAAUAUAUAUAAUGUGUAUAUAGCACUAUGCCUCAUUGUAAACAUUUAAAAAGAUGUAAGUGUGUUUUUUUAAAGGCGGCGGGUUAGGAUUGUUGAUUAUCAGGAAACUUUGGACUUGCGCUAGGAAGUUAGAAGGAGUUCAAUACAGGAAGGAAUUUAAGGGAAAAGGUUUUUGUUUUCACAAUAAAAGUCCACAAUAUUUGGGAAAGCAUGAGAGGCGAGAGGAGUUUCCCUUUAGACUGUUGUACUAGAAAGUUAUUUUUCUUUGCCCAUUUUUGAAACGAUAUCGGUUUGUCCGUUUAUUUUUUUCUUUAAAAAAAAAUCAAUUGAUGCAAUAGCUACUAAUCGUAUCUAAUUAACAGCUUUUACAGAUAAAGGUAAUAAUGUACAGUGUGGUGUAUGGUAGUUGAAAUACAACUUUGGGCAAACCUUGAACUGCAAAUUCUCUAGGCUACUCUGGUUAGAAGGCUGUUAAACAUACGAAAAAAAUCCAAAAAAGAAAAGUACCGGACGAAUGUUAAUGGUUACGACAUUUAGACGAUACACCUGUACAACAUGUAUGACUAUACUCUUGCACAAAAGAAAAACGCCCCAGGUAGUGAAGCAUUUGUUCACAAUAUAUAUAUUGUUUUUCAUUGAAGGGAAACUUGUAACUAGAUUAUUGCCACAUUUUGAUGGUGCACAGGUCUGUUCAAAGUCUAAUUUAGUUGUGUCAGAGACAAUGGUAAAUAUGGUAACUCACGUCUACACGUAUGACUGCUAUUGGAACACGAGAGGAAGAAAAAAAAAAAAAGGAUAUUAAUUGUAGAUGUUAUAGUGUUAUGGUUAACUACAGCCCCUGCUGAAGGUAAGAGUCUUACUCGGUACAGUGAUGGCCAUUUUAGAAGACCCCUCUCUCUUCAUUGGUGGAUUUAAUUAUUUCGGCUCCUCUCCAAAUAGGGGACUUCUAGGGUGGAUCCUGCUCUGCCCCUUCUCUGAACGGUGCAUUUAUUGUGCUGGAGGUGAAGACAUUUUAACAUCUUCACUCUCAUGACAAGCCUUAAAACUCAACUGGUGGGGUGCAACGACUCCAAUUCCAACUCCUGUCCAAAUCAAAUCUGGUUUUCUUGUUCCUCAGUAAUGACUGACGUUUUUUUUGUUUUCAAUACAGCCAUAAUAUAAAAUGAAGCUAUAUACAUAUAUAUGAAUAUAUAUAUAUAUAUAUUUAUGUGUUGGUGUAGAUAUCUAGAUGAUUAUAUACUUUCUUAUAGAAAAUCUUUGAUGUUGACCAUUUUUCCUGCGUGUCAUGAGAACACGUCGACACAUUUAAAAAUGGCUGCCAUCCCGGUUUGGGAGCCACUGGCACCUGAACCCAAAAAUAUUCUCCUUCCACAGGGAGUCCUCUUCCAAUGCAAUACAUUUUAUUUCCACUUCUCAGUUAUGGUUAAUGUUGAGAGAGAGAAAAAAGAAAAAUGUUUGUGGCAAGUUGACCAAAAAUAAACAAAUAAAUACAUCCACAGUAAUAAAACAAAGACAACAAAAAAAACGUUUGUCAACAGCUUUCUUUGUUCACAUGUUUGCUGGCUUUGUUUUUAAAAGAUGCCACCAGAAUGUUCUCACUUAGACCCACCAAAACCAACGUUUUAGGGACAUGUUUUUCUCUUUUUCUUGUUUCUUUAUCGUUUAAAUAUAAGGAAAAAAAAUAUGUAAUCUGUCUGCUAGCUGUAGGAACUGUUUGAUCGCGACGAUUUAGCUUUGCAAUACAGGCCAAUCUCUGGCCAAUCAGAAUUAAUUUAGCAGAUCACAUGUCGUCCAGGCUUCCCUACAUACGGUUGCAAUGUUUAGAAACUAACUGAUAACUUGUCUUGAUGGUACAGUUGAUGUGAGCCCUCAGAAGGGACUGCAAGCUAUCGUCUAUAGCUAAAUGUCGGUGGGUAUUAUGGUGGAAGAGAAACAAAUAAUAUAUAUAAAGGGCAUAAAUUCUUCUUUUCUUUUUUUUUUUUCUUCGCUGUUGAUUUAAUUGUCUAUUUACAUCUAAUGACUAUCAAAGAUACAGACGUGAUUAUUUUCCUUUUUUAACUUAGUUUUUGGUAAGACAAAAAAACAGUAAAUACUGCUAGUAAUAUUUUAUAUUUUUACAUAUAUUGGUUUUAUUCUGCGUUUUUUUAUUUAUAUGCCUCUUAGUUUGGAUGUAUUUUAAAUUGUGUUUUUUUUCUCGUUUCGUGUGAUUUCAUAUGUUCAGAAUGUGGAGAAAAUGCAUUUCAGUAUUUUUGAAUUGUUAAAAUCUAGUUUCAUAGACGCGCAAGUAUCUGAUGUUAUAUUAUAAAUUAUAUUUUAAUUCGUGUAAAUAGUUUAAAACAGAAGACUAUGACUUCCGUUUAAACUGAAUACAUUUCUCUUCAGAGAUUGUUUACAUUAAAAAAACUGUAGAAAUGUGCUCCUCAUAUACUGUAUAAAGUACAUAUAUUCAUUCAAUUGCCUCCAAAAAAUAAAACCCUAAUGAGC
ensembl:lncRNA